GCAGCCUUAAAAUUUGAAUAGCGAUCUUGAAACGGAUAUGCGUCGCAGUGCAUUUCAGAUCGAUUACAUAUAAUUGACAGGACUAUACAGGUGGUCUUAAAUAUAGUUCAACAGAAACUAGCGAGUCUUGGGAAUUCUUAAGGCCCAGUGAAAAAAUGGCUAUGUCAAAGCGUAUACGAGUUGGCACGAUCACAAUUGGAUGCUCGCUGAUGGUACUCACAUUCCUCUCCAUGAUCUGUGGUAUUGUCGCGAUGAGCAAAAUGAGCACUCCAUUUGAAGUUAGUAUCGGUUUAUGGGGAUUUUAUGUAAGUAUAACAUUUCACAGUGUUUUCUCUUUAACGUUCGCGUUUUAAAGUAAGUAAUUGAUUAGCGCCGGUGAAGAAGAUUGCAUUUCCGUAGGACAUGUUGUAGGACAUUGAAAG